GGAAACACUGUCUGGGUCCCCAUAACAAAUAGAAACACUCUGGGCCUACCCUGUCUUUUGGUGAGUGCUUGCUGGUUGUCCUAAUAAGAGAAUCUUCCUCUUGGAAUAUUAACUGCUAUUUUUAUUAAUGAGGCUCUUCUGAACAGUCUUUCUGCAAUAACCAUUGUAACACUGUUUAAAUAGCUUUUUGUGUUAAGACAGGGCCUUCAAUAUCACCUAAGUAAGCCGUUUUGAUUUAAAGAUAAUUAAAAACCUUUCUGACGGAAAAUUUUCCCCAAUGUCCUGUUUAAAAUUUCCACUCUUGGCACGAACAAAUACACUAAAAGCCAAAACCAAAGCAACCUCUAAGCCUGACAAGUCAGCUGUCCAGGGGCCACUGCCCCCCCGCACCCA
rnacentral:lncRNA from 1 species